AAGUUUUGGUGACUGCGCUCCUCCAAGCCAGUUACCUCGGUUCAAAGAGUUGGUAGCUCAGAGAACCUUGAAAAACCACCGUUGGUAGCGGUGGUUUUUUUC
rnacentral:antisense_RNA from 1 species